UACGUAGGUGGCGAGCGUUGUCCGGAAUUACUGGGCGUAAAGGGUGCGUAGGCGGUUUCUUAAGUCAGAUGUGAAAUCCCAGGGCUCAACUCUGGAGUUGCAUUUGAAACUGGGGAGCUAGAGUGCAGGAGAGGAAAGCGGAAUUCCUAGUGUAGCGGUGAAAUGCGUAGAUAUUAGGAAGAACACCAGUGGCGAAGGCGGCUUUCUGGACUGUAACUGACGCUGAGGCACGAAAGCGUGGGGAG
rnacentral:rRNA from 1 species